GCUCUGUGAUGAUCCCCUAUGCGUGUCAACUGAGCUCAGCUUCCACUGUUCUCCCAGUGCUAUAAGUGGGUGUUUUGCCUUCUAGUCUCUGGGCUGGCAGAGGCCUCUGUGCAUAUGAUCAUAAUUUAACCCUGAGAGC